rnacentral:tRNA from 1 species
AAGCGGUGGCUCAAUGGUAGAGCUUUCGACUCCAAUUCGAAGGGUUGCAGGUUCAAUUCCUGUCCGUUUCAU